UUGGGUUUCUAACUAUAACAAAGAAUACUUUACAUUCCACUGUCUACAUGCCUUCGCGUCAAAUGAAAGAGACUGAACAGCCUAAAAAAGUAAAUAAUAAUAAAUAAAGAAAAUCCUUAACGUAAGAUUAUGAAAACAUAUUAAAGCUACAGAUUCAUAAAUUAUUCUGUAGUAUUCCUGACAACUGAUUUCAUUUAUUCUACCACAGUUUAACACACAUUUCUUUAAAUUUGCCGGAGGGGAGAAGAACUUUUCUUGAAAAUGUAAGAUUUGGGAUAAACAAUGCAAGGCUGCUUCUAUGGUUUUAGUUUGUAAUAAACUGUGAUUAUUGCUUUUAAGUAAGUAGAAUACCAAUAACCAACAAAAUCGAGUAGUUUGGGGACAAACAACACCGGUAGUGGAGCAGAUGACCAGUCUAAAUUCCCCAUAAUCACCGAGCCUAACCCCACCUUUAAAUCCCCGAAUUCACCUGUCGCCGCACCUGAAGCCAGGCGCUUCAAAGGCGGCUUGCUCAACGUCAGCAACAGGUGUCCGUCUGCGAGCCCCACAAACAACUAAAGUAACACGAAAAACAUUUCCGUCGUUUAAACAACAUUACACACACGCAAAGUAACCGGUUGGGUGAGUUGGCUGAUAGUUAAUCCCAGUCCCGUGACCGACCGGCUGUGAGCGCCCGACUCAUUCCCGAAAAAAGUUCGUGGAAGUCGAAGUUUCCAGUUCGCCGCGGCAGCUCACCUUGGGACUCCGGAGGAGAUGUGUCGCUGCCAUCCAGGUCCGCCAUUUCUCCUGACGUCAGCUGAGAGGGAUCACACGCGCAGGAACCCGCGCGCGACCUGAUGGAAUGAUCCCAGACGGGGUGGCCUGGAUGGGCCCGGCCCCUCCCACGGACAACACGUCUUUACCAACUCAGCAGAAAUGAUGUGCAUUUAUUAAAUGGUGACAGCCAAA